AUAGAUAUAGACCAACUACAACAAAGUGAAGAGGAGGAAAUCGGAGAGGAGGAAAUCGAAGAGGUACAAAUUGAAGAACUAAAAAAAAAUCAAUGCGAAACAGAAGUAGUUAUGCUAGAAAAAUUUAAAUCAUAUGAAGGAAUGAUAUACAGAAAACAAAUAGAAAAUUUAUACAAAUGUAGAACAACUGUUUUAUAUUAUUUUUUUAUUAUCCCUGCUUUUUUUUGGUACAAUGAUUCAUAUUAUUUUGCUUGUCUAAAUAUAGAUGUUGAUAUUAAUGAUAUUUUAAACAUACUUAACGUAAUUGAUAAAUCGAACAAGGAUAUAUUUAAAAAAAUAUCUUCGGAAAAUAUAACAAAAACAACAGAACAUACCGAUGCACAACUGGACAGCAUAUAUGAAAACAAUAAAAACAUAAUUAAUGAAGAAAAAUCGACUUUGGUAAAUGUUACGAAUAAAAAUGAACAAGUAAUUAUAAAAGAUCAAUCACAAAAAAAUUAUCAUGAACAAAAAAAUAUACAAGAAGUUACAAACAUUAAUGAAUAUAUUGAAAUUGAUGUAGUACAUAAUGAUGAUAUAAAAAAAAGGAAAGAUAAUCAAAAACAAAGCCAAAACCAAUAUAAUACAAAAAGACAGAAAUUAAACGAAACAAUACAUAUCAAUAUAUUAGACAAACAAAAAGAAAAUAUUGAAAAACAACCAACAGAAGUACAAAUUUUAAUUUUAAAUGAUAAAAAUGGAAAAGAAUUAAUAAAAAAACAAGAGGAGAAAGAUAGUACUUGUAAUGUGGAGAAUGUGGGGGCUGUAUUAAAUGAUCAAGCAGUACAUGACCAAACUUGUGAUAAUACGUGUCUUCCAAAUUGUGAUAAAAUGGAUGGUAAUCUGAUAAAUAGCAAUUGGAACAAUAAUAAUACUUUUUUUAAAAUGUCGACUACACCGAAUUAUAUUAAAACAAAAGAAAACGAAAAAAAAAAAUCACUUAACAAUUUGACUAAAAAUAAAACAAAUAUAUUUAAUAAAAUUACAAAUUAUUUUAAAAUUGUUGAAAGUAGUAAAAAUGAAAAAGAGAAAAUAGAUGAAAAGCAACAUGUAGAAGAAGAAAAUGAAAAAGUUCCUACACUCAACGAACAAAAUUUAAAUAAUAUAAAUAAUAUAUUUAUACAUGACAUUAAAUAUAAUUCAAAUGACAAAAAUGAAUCUACAAGAGAUAGUAAAAAUGUAAAUGCAGAUGGAAAUAUGAAAGGAGUUAUCGAUACAAAUUAUAUCAGCCAAACGAAUACUGACACACGCUUUGACGCUUGUACAAACGGGUGUAUAGAUUUACUAAUCCAAACAACUAGUAAUGAAAAUAUGUUAACUAACGGCCAGGUUGUAAAAAAUGGUGAAAUCAUGAUAUUAGACAAUACAGAAGAGGGUUUAAAAAAUGACGAUAAAUAUAAUACUAAUAGUAUUAAUAACAGUAGUAAUAGUAGUAAUAGUAGCAAUAACAAAAUGGAAAGUUAUAAAAAAAAACAAAGUAUAUUAGAACAUGUAAAAAAUGAUAAUUCGAAAUGUUUCUUAAGCGACAAUACACACGAUACUAAUAACUUUGGUAAUGAAUUAAAUGAAGAGGACACUUUAAAAGUAUGUGAUAAUACACAGAUGCUUAGUAAUGCUACUACAGCUGGCAGUGUCAAUAAUGGCAAUAGUGACAAUAGUGACAAUAACAUCCUUAAUGAUAUCGAAUCAACUCCUCGGGUACAUGAUAAUACAAAAAAAAUGAAAAAGUUAAUAGAUAACGAAAAAAAAAAUAAGAUAGAACAGCUAUAUAUUUACUGCAAAAAAAAUAUAAAUAUA
ensembl:lncRNA